UAGGAGGUGGGGUAGGACUGAGUGAUGUAGUGGCUAGGGAUUGGGGGGGCUUGUGACAUCAGUAGGAGGGGCUUGUGUCAUCACUAGUCAAUAAGAGGUAGUAUCAGGUUACUCUCUUGGCAGAAAAAGAGGCAUGAUGGGAAGAAGGCUGUCCUUUAGUGGGAGAAGCCAUAAUUUUAGCUCCACCUUUGACCUUCUACUUCCUAUCUGCCAUGAAGUGAGCAGCUUCCCUCAGCCUGGGCCCUUCCACCAUGUUGCUUCUUCCUAGAGCCACCCAACAUAAAAUCCGUGUCAGAAGAGAAUGACUGAACUCCUGCUGAGAAACAGAUUGAAGACCAAGAAAGACCCAGAUGUGCUCCCUAGGUUAUGUGCCAUGGACUGAAGAAGAUGGCAAGCAAGAAGUUAUUAGUCCCACAGAUCUUCCAUUCAGUCCCUGCAGUGACAGCUAUCAUGUGCCAGCAUAGUCAAGAAAAAACAAGGAAGCAGAAAUUGGCUGAAAAUAGCAAGUGAGAGAAAGGAUCCUGGACAAGAUGCAGGACCUGCUGGCCUGUCUUAUAUGUUUUAUUUACAUUAUUAACUUAAUUCUCACAAAAGGAUUGCACAAAUGAGGAAACUGAGGCUCAUCAAUGUUGAGAACUUGCUCGAGGUCACAUGGUACGUCAGUGCAAAAGUGGGACCCAUAGCUCUAUCUUUUCAUUCCCUUGACCUCCCUCUUUGCUGCCACACUAGGCUGGCUUCCUACAACACAGAAGGAAAAGGGCAAACACCAUGAUUUCAACUACACUCAAGAAUCAGAAAUAUGGGCUGAAAAUGGGUUGGGUCCCAAAGAUCAUAACAACUAGAAUUAGUGACCGCACAUGUUAGGUGUUACCUCUGAUUAUAAACAUUAUGAAAAAGGCAAGUGACAUGGUAUACAACUGGUAAUUGCAGAAACUGAGCCUGAAAUGUCACUGACCUCACUUUCUACUGAAAAACCUC